rnacentral:rRNA from 1 species
AUUGAACGCUGGCGGAAUGCUUUACACAUGCAAGUCGAACGGCAGCACGGACUUCGGUCUGGUGGCGAGUGGCGAACGGGUGAGUAAUGUAUCGGAACGUGCCCAGUCGUGGGGGAUAACGUAGUGAAAAUUACGCUAAUACCGCAUACGAUCUAUGGAUGAAAGCGGGGGAUCGCAAGACCUCGCGCGAUUGGAGCGGCCGAUAUCAGAUUAGGUAGUUGGUGGGGUAAAGGCCCACCAAGCCAACGAUCUGUAGCUGGUCUGAGAGGACGACCAGCCACACUGGAACUGAGACACGGUCCAGGCUCCUACGGGAGGCAGUAGUGGGGAAUUUUGGACAAUGGGCGAAAGCCUGAUCCAGCCAUUCCGCGUGCAGGAUGAAGGCCCUCGGGUUGUAAACUGCUUUUGUACAGAACGAAAAGGUUUCUACUAAUACUAGGAGCUCAUGACGGUACUGUAAGAAUAAGCACCGGCUAACUACGUGCCAGCAGCCGCGGUAA